ACUCAGCGCUGGGGUUUCAUUAAAUUGAUGCCAGAACCUGUCCGGUAAUUCCUCAUCAAGGCUGACGGUGAUAUUCCCACAAGUUACCAGUUCUGUCAAAGGGAAGCGCCAACAACAUGCUGCAGUAUUUUUUUUUAAUCUCCAUUCAGGGAAUGUGAGUGUUUCUGACUGGGCCAGCAUUUUUUGCCCAUUCCCAAUUACCCAGAGGGCAGUUAAAUGUCAACCACAUGGCUGUGGGCCUGGAGUCACAUGUAGGCCACAUUCCCACCCUGAAGGGCAUUAGUGAACCAGAUGGGUUUUGGCCCACAACAAUGAAUUCAUGGUCGUCAUUAGACUCUUAAUUGCGUAUGUUGUUAUUGAAUUCAAAUUCAAUGACCUGCUGUGUGAGAUUCAACUUUUGGGACAUUUGCUGAGUUUAUGGAUUAAUAGUGUAAUGAUAAUACCACCAGGUCAUCACCUCCCCAGGUUCCACGUGAAUCCAACAUGGUCAAAUCUUAGACCCAAGGUUCAAUUUUAAUCAGAGAUAAUGGGAACUGCAGAUGCUGGAGAAUCCAAGAUAACAAAGUGUGGGGCUGGAUGAACACAGCAGGCCAAGCAGCAACUUAGGAGCCUAGUCCUGACUUCUCGAAUCUACCUGACAUCUGUCAAGCCCACUGUUUCCUGCUUCCUGUUUUCUCCAUUACAUUCUUCGUCCAGGGGCUGAUGCUUUUCUGAGAUUACUAACUACACUCCAUGAAGCACUUUGUUGACACACAAGCCUAUUGUGAGGCCUUGACAAGCUGAUUCUCUUUCCACUCACCUGUCAGUUCCCAGUUACAACACUCGUCUAUCUAUGGGUUGGAAUCAGAUUUCCCUGAGUUGACAUGACCUUCAGCAACUGGCCUUUACAUCUUCUAUCCACGAGGGGCUGACCUAUUGGAAUGUCAGUGGCCUCUCAGACAAUUUCAGAUUGCUGGUUUGAAGAGCUUGUCUCCCACUGAGUUAUUGAACAUUCCUGGGUGACAAGCCUGAGAUCUGAGCUCCAGCCCAGUGUGAGGUCAUGAGUGCCAGAUUAGGGUAACAAAUGCGCCCAAGGUGUGAA